UUAACGGAUGCGCUGGAACUUUUUCCAGCGCUGGGCUUGCGGUCUAGAAAUAACACUCAAAUAAAUGUUCCCUGUCCCCCUCCGCUCAGCCGCCAACUUUAGGACAUUCACCAAGGCACUGCAAACACGAAAAGAACCUCAGUACUCGGUAGCAUGAAUUCUGUGCGGCCACACCUUUAAAAGCCGUACGUAUUUUUCAUCCAACCUAACUCAGAACCGUCAAUUCUACCAUCAAAAUUCCUGCUUGGUCCGGCAAAUAUACUGGUCUCAAACGAAAGGAUCCUCAUCGGGGAAUAAUAGAAAAUUGAGGCCAGAAAUGAAUGCGCGACAGCAACCAUUUUUGCUCUGGUGUUCCCAGCAUCACAGGGUGUGCCAUAGGAGAUGAGAAAUUUGCUGUCAACCCUUGCGGCUACCUGUCCACUCAGAAGCAAUAAUCCCGAAAGGCAAGGGAGUGAAGUGCCACUGGAUUAAGCCCUUGCUUUCACACCAAGAAUGCGCUGACUGGAUCCGUACAAACUCCUUUCUAUGGACAGGAGAUCUAGGCUCCAAGACCGGCCUGACUUAACCGAGGGGGCCCUCGGGUGGCAGUUGGCUUCGCUCUAAGAUCUCGGCUCUGUUAUACCUCAUUGCCUCCCAAAGGGAAAUCAAGUUCGCCUACAAAGCCUUCAGCAAUGAGAGGUGUCCAGUGGAAUGGAGGCUGGAAAGGUGGUAGCCCCUAGAAGGAGGGCCUGCUGGAGAGACCCUUAAUAGGACAACGGAAAGGUGCAGGAACAUUGGAAGUGGAACGCAUAGAGGAGUCUUGCCUGGCAGGGUUGGCGUGGGCCUAGGACGAAGACCAGGAGUGGGAGAUGACAGCAGGGGAGGGAGAACCCAUACCAGGCGGGAGUGGAAAAGCCCCUUCAGGCAUAGCUAUCUGAAAGUGAAAUACAAGGGGACCCUUGUAAAAUACUAUGUCAUGAAACUAGGUGCUGAGGGCUGGUCCGGGAUACAGAAGGGGGGAUUGCAUGCCUUUUGAAAAUGUUUUUUGACCACUACAAUUGCUCCCAUGUGGAUAAAUGUGUUCCAUUAAUUUUAA